UGGUCUGGAGAUAAUUAAUUAUCUCUGGAGGUGAUUCUUUAGAUGGUCGGGCCGCCAUCU
rnacentral:ncRNA from 2 species